rnacentral:rRNA from 1 species
GACGAACGCUGGCGGCGUGCUUAACACAUGCAAGUCGAACGGAAAGGCCCUGCUUUUGUGGGGUGCUCGAGUGGCGAACGGGUGAGUAACACGUGAGUAACCUGCCCUUGACUUUGGGAUAACUUCAGGAAACUGGGGCUAAUACCGGAUAGGAGCUCCUGCUGCAUGGUGGGGGUUGGAAAGUUUCGGCGGUUGGGGAUGGACUCGCGGCUUAUCAGCUUGUUGGUGGGGUAGUGGCUUACCAAGGGUUUGACGGGUAGCCGGCCUGAGAGGGUGACCGGCCACCUUGGGACUGAGAUACGGCCCAGACUCCUACGGGAGGCAGCAGUGGGGAAUAUUGCACAAUGGGCGGAAGCCUGAUGCAGCAACGCCGCGUGCGGGAUGACGGCCUUCGGGUUGUAAACCGCUUUCGCCUGUGACGAAGCGUGAGUGACGGUAAUGGGUAAAGAAGCACCGGCUAACUACGUG